AUUGAACGCUGGCGGCAGGCCUAACACAUGCAAGUCGAGCGGAUGACGGGAGCUUGCUCCUUGAUUCAGCGGCGGACGGGUGAGUAACGCCUAGGAAUCUGCCUGGUAGUGGGGGACAACGUUUCGAAAGGAACGCUAAUACCGCAUACGUCCUACGGGAGAAAGCAGGGGACCUUCGGGCCUUGCGCUAUCAGAUGAGCCUAGGUCGGAUUAGCUAGUUGGUGGGGUAAUGGCUCACCAAGGCGACGAUCCGUAACUGGUCUGAGAGGAUGAUCGGUCACGCUGGAACUGAGACACGGUCCAGAAUCCUACGGGAGGCAGCAGUGGGGAAUAUUGGACAAUGGGCGAAAGCCUGAUCCAGCCAUGCCGCGUGUGUGAAGAAGGUCUUCGGAUUGUAAGGCACUUUAAGUUGGGAGGAAGGGCAGUAAGUUAAUACCUUGCUGUUUUGACGUUACCGACAGAAUAAGCACCGGCUAACUCUGUGCCAGCAGCCGCAGUAAAAC
rnacentral:rRNA from 1 species